GAAUAUAUUUGGCUUUUCUGUCCAUCCCCGUGCACCUGGCCCUGAGCGGCGGAAACAUACGUCUGCGAGAAGAAGAAGAGACAGUGACAGGAAGCACACAUUCAUCAACACCUUUCCAUUAAUGCUUCAUGAGACCGAGAAAAUACCGCAGAGCGCUCCGGCGGAGAUGUGCGAAGGAUCGGAUCUACGAUGGUAUCCAGGCUUCGGUUUGACGGUCCUCCCGUGGAUGCAACUGGGAACAAAGUGAAUCCGGACAGGACAGUCGCGCGGGGAGCCGCAUCUCCUCCUGGAAAAGUUUGAGGCACCUCUGCUGAGACGCACAGCUCAGAGGCAUCCUUGCAACCAGAUUCGUUCUCCUGUUUCAGCCAAAUUGGUCCCUUCUGCUGGAAAAUAACUCCUGGAUAACUUACUCCGGUCAUCAUCUGCCUGUCCACCCUUCAGUGUUUAC